UAUCACUGUUUGGUUUUUGCUUGGAGGAGAACAACCUUUUACUGGUUUAUGAUCUAUUAUCCAGAGGAAGCUUAGAAGAGAAUCUCCAUGGUUCCAAAAAGGAUGAAAAUACAUUUAGCUGGGUAGAUAGAUACAAGGUCGCUUUGGGUGUUGCUGAGGCACUGGACCACCUACACAAUGCAGCUGAUGGGCCCAUAAUCCACAGGGAUGUGAAAUCUUCAAACAUUCUCCUGUCCGAUGAUUCUGAGCCACAGCUUUCAGAUUUUGGACUUGCAACACCAGCCUCAAGCUGUUCAAAUCAUUUAGAUAGCAUUGAUGUUGCUGGAACUUUUGGCUACUUGGCUCCUGAGUACUUUAUGCAUGGAAAGAUAACUGAAAAGAUUGAUGUGUAUGCAUUUGGUGUUGUUCUCCUUGAGCUUUUGUCUGGUAAAAAGCCAAUUGAUAAUGGCAACGGGAAAGGUCAGGAAAGCUUAGUCAUGUGGGCGAAACAAGUUCUGAAGGGUGGGAACACGAAGGAGUUGCUAGAUCCGAGCUUGAUUGACACUUGUGAUCAUGAUCAAUUUGAGAGAAUGGUCUCGGCGGCAUCACUGUGUAUCAGACGAGCUCCUGGAAUUAGACCUCAAAUUGACAUCGUGUUAAAACUUCUCCAAGGUGAGGCUGAAACAAUUAAGUGGGCGAUGGAAGAAGGCAAAACUUCAGAAGAAGUAGACGCUGUCGAUGGUGAACAACCACCCUCAAACAUUCAAUCCUUUAUUAAUCUCGCAUUGCUGAAUUUGGAGGAUGAGUCCUCACUUUCAUGUACCAGCACGGGACCAACCAUCUCCGUGGAGGAUUAUUUGCAAGGGAGAUUUAGUCGCUCUUCAAGUUUUGACUAACCAUUCCUAUGAUAUAUGUCUAUGGCUAUAUCAAGUAACCCUUUUUAUGUAAAUACCAAGCUUUCCUUCUUGAUUGAUUGCCCCCCAUCACUGGGUCCUGGUACGAGAGGUUUGCAGCCGUUGACCUCCUCCUUUGCCUAGCCUGGGCUGAUUUUUUCUUCAACUAUCUCCUUUUUCCACAGCUUCUUUUUGGGGUGCAGUAACAAAUGCUGCCAAGAGUGUGAGCAAAUGAUUAGUAGAUUGUCACAGGUGAGUUAUUGUAAAUCAAAUCCAAAGU
rnacentral:misc_RNA from 1 species